rnacentral:snRNA from 9 species
AUACUUACCUGGUGUAGGGAUACCGUGAGCAUGCAGGCGGGUCUCCCAGGGUGAGGCUGCUCCAUUGCACUGCGGAGUAGUUGACCCUUGCGUUUUUUUUUAUAUUUUAUAAGUUUCACUUCUACCGUGUCUGACUUGCACACACACACACACAUUUUUUUUUUUAAUCGAGGACAUUUUUUUUUAUUAAACAUCUA